CCCUUAGAUGUCCGGGGCCGCACGCGCGCUACACUGAAGGAAUCAGCGUGGCUUUCUCCCUGACCCGAAAGGGUUGGGAAACCCGUUGAAUCUCCUUCGUGAUAGGGAUUGGGGCUUGAAAUUGUUCCCCAUGAACGAGGAAUUCCCAGUAAGCGCGAGUCAUAAGCUCGCGUUGAUUACGUCCCUGCCCUUUGUACACACCGCCCGUCGCUACUACCGAUUGAACGGUUUAGUGAGGGCCUCGGAUUGGUCUCGGCCCGCUCUUUACCGGGCGGCGCCGUUGGUCGAGAAGACGCUCGAACUUGAUAGUUUAGAGGAAGUAAAAGUCGUAACA
rnacentral:rRNA from 1 species